GAUGAACGCUAGCGGCAGGCCUAAUACAUGCAAGUCGGACGGGAUUCAGGAGCUUGCUUCUGAUGAGAGUGGCGCACGGGUGCGUAACACGUAUGUAACCUACCUUUAUCAGGGGGAUAGCCUCUCGAAAGAGAGAUUAAGCCCGCAUAAAAUCACAGCACAGCAUUGUGUAAUGAUCAAAUAUUUAUAGGAUAAAGAUGGGCAUGCGGAACAUUAGCUAGAUGGCGGGGUAACGGCCCACCAUGGCGACGAUGUUUAGGGGAUCUGAGAGGAUGGCCCCCCACACUGGUACUGAGACACGGAACAGACUCCUACGGGAGGCAGCAGUAAGGAAUAUUGGUCAAUGGGCGGAAGCCUGAACCAGCCAUGCCGCGUGCAGGAAGACGGCCCUACGGGUUGUAAACUGCUUUUAUACGGGAAUAAACCCAGAUACGUGUAUCUGGCUGAAUGUACUGUAAGAAUAAGGAUCGGCUAACUCCGUG
rnacentral:rRNA from 1 species